rnacentral:rRNA from 1 species
GCAGUGGGGAAUAUUGGACAAUGGGCGCAAGCCUGAUCCAGCCAUACCGCGUGGGUGAAGAAGGCCUUCGGGUUGUAAAGCCCUUUUGUUGGGAAAGAAAUCUUGCCGGUUAAUACCUGGCGAGGAUGACGGUACCCAAAGAAUAAGCACCGGCUAACUUCGUGCCAGCAGCCGCGGUAAUACGAAGGGUGCAAGCGUUACUCGGAAUUACUGGGCGUAAAGCGUGCGUAGGUGGUGGUUUAAGUCUGCUGUGAAAGCCCUGGGCUCAACCUGGGAAUUGCAGUGGAUACUGGGUCACUAGAGUGUGGUAGAGGGAUGCGGAAUUUCCGGUGUAGCAGUGAAAUGCGUAGAGAUCGGAAGGAACAUCCGUGGCGAAGGCGGCAUCCUGGGCCAACACUGACACUGAGGCACGAAAGCGUGGGGAGCAAACAGGAUUAGAUACCCUGGUAGUCCACGCCCUAAACGAUGCGAACUGGAUGUUGGGUGCAACUUGGCACCCAGUAU